UACAGAGGGUGCGAGCGUUGUUCGGAUUCACUGGGCGUAAAGGGUGCGUAGGUGGUCAGGUAAGUCUGAUGUGAAAUCUCUGGGCUUAACCCAGAAACUGCAUUGGAUACUAUCUGGCUAGAGGAGUGGAGGGGGGACUGGAAUACUUGGUGUAGCAGUGAAAUGCGUAGAUAUCAAGUGGAACACCAGUGGCGAAGGCGAGUCCCUGGACACUUCCUGACACUGAGGCACGAAAGCUAGGGGAGCAAACAGG
rnacentral:rRNA from 1 species